UAUUAGGUUGGUGCAAAAGUAAUUGCGGUUUCUGCCAUUACUUUCAAAUGACACAAACGCAUUUACUUUUGCCCCAACCUAAU
rnacentral:miRNA from 10 species